rnacentral:rRNA from 1 species
CACGCCGUAAACGAUGUCAACUAGCCGUUGGGACUCUUGAAGUCUUAGUGGCGCAGCUAACGCACUAAGUUGACCGCCUGGGGAGUACGGCCGCAAGGUUAAAACUCAAAUGAAUUGACGGGGGCCCGCACAAGCGGUGGAGCAUGUGGUUUAAUUCGACGCAACGCGAAGAACCUUACCUGGCCUUGACAUCCAGAGAACUUUCCAGAGAUGGAUUGGUGCCUUCGGGAACUCUGAGACAGGUGCUGCAUGGCCGUCGUCAGCUCGUGUCGUGAGAUGUUGGGUUAAGUCCCGUAACGAGCGCAACCCCUAUCCCUGGUUGCUAGCAGGUAAUGCUGAGAACUCCAGGGAGACUGCCGGUGACAAACCGGAGGAAGGUGGGGAUGACGUCAGGUCAUCAUGGCCCUUACGGCCAGGGCUACACACGUGCUACAAUGGCGCGUACAGAGGGCUGCCAACUCGCGAGAGUGAGCCAAUCCCUUAAAACGCGUCGUAGUCCGGAUCGGAGUCUGCAACUCGACUCCGUGAAGUCGGAAUCGCUAGUAAUCGCGAAUCAGAAUGUCGCGGUGAAUACGUUCCCGGGCCUUGUACACACCGCCCGUCACACCAUGGGAGUGGAUUGCACCAGAAGUAGUUAGUCUAACCUUCGGGAGGACGAUUACCACGGUGUGGUUCAUGACUGGGGUGAAGUCGUAACAAGGUAGCCGUAGGGGAACCUGCGGCUGGAUCACCUC